rnacentral:tRNA from 1 species
CAGGAUGUAGUUUAAUGAGAAUGCCGGCUUUGGGGGUCGGAGGCGAGGUAUAGUUACCUUCAUCUUGA